rnacentral:rRNA from 1 species
ACAAGCAGCGGAGCGUGUGGUUUAAUUCGUUGCUACACGAAGAACGUUACCUGGGUUUGACAUAUAGGUUGUAGGGAACUGAAAAGGGACCGACCCUUCGGGGAGCCUAUACAGGUGUUGCAUGGCUGUCGUCAGCUCGUGUCGUGAGGUGUUCGGUUAAGUCCGCUAACGAGCGCAACCCUCGUCGUAUGUUAUAUGUGUCAUACGAGACUGCCGGUAAAAAGCCGGAGGAAGGUGAGGAUGAUGUCAAGUCAGCAUGACCUUUAUAUCCAGGGCUACACACACGCUACAAUGGUCUGUACAAUGGGUAGCCAAGCCGCGAGGCGGAGCCAAUCCUGAAAGCAGGCCUCAGUUCAGAUUGCAGUCUGCAACUCGACUGCAUGAAGCCGGAGUUGCUAGUAACCGCAGGUCAGCAAUACUGCGGUGAAUACGUUCUCGAGUCUU